rnacentral:rRNA from 1 species
ACGGACGCUGGCGGCGUGCCUAAUACCUGCAAGUAGAACGCUGAAGAGAGGAGCUUGCUCUUCUUGGAUGAGUUGCGAACGGGUGAGUAACGCGUAGGUAACCUGCCUUGUAGCGGGGGAUAACUAUUGGAAACGAUAGCUAAUACCGCAUAACAAUGGAUGACACAUGUCAUUUAUUUGAAAGGGGCAAUUGCUCCACUACAAGAUGGACCUGCGUUGUAUUAGCUAGUAGGUGAGGUAAUGGCUCACCUAGGCGACGAUACAUAGCCGACCUGAGAGGGUGAUCGGCCACACUGGGACUGAGACACGGCCCAGACUCCUACGGGAGGCAGCAGUAGGGAAUCUUCGGCAAUGGGGGCAACCCUGACCGAGCAACGCCGCGUGAGUGAAGAAGGGUUUCGGAUCGUAAAGCUCUGUUGUAAGUCAAGAACGGGUGUGAGAGUGGAAAGUUCACACUGUGACGGUAGCUUACCAGAAAGGGACGGCUAACUACGUG